AUUCACUACGCGUGUCCGCUGCGGUUCUUGCGCGGCGCACAUCCAUCUGAUCACUGCUCGCUACGUUUUGUUAGCU
rnacentral:sRNA from 5 species